rnacentral:lncRNA from 1 species
GCUAAAGUAGCCUUCAGUUAUGCAGUGUUUCGAAUGGGUUAAAAGAUACUGUCAAUCCGUCAUGUUAUGUAUAGUAUUGCUCGCAACUAGAAUAUGGCAAUCAUCAUUUAAUGUAUAACCAGGAUUGGGAAUAUCCUCCGUAUGAGAAUUAAGAACAAAGAAGAAGCCAGACACAUCUUCAAUUUACCUGAUCCCAGCAACAAUACCAGCUGGCAUAACCUUAGAGGUUUCCAUAUAUCGCUGUGCCAUGACCACAGUCAGUACAGCUGCGCAAACUGUAUCAACAGCAUAAAACUCAGCACGAAAUCGAAAUUCUUGCAUUAUUGCACCAAAAGAAGAAAGACAGCCAAAAAGAAAAAAAUUGUGAAACAAAAAAAUUAGCCAAAAUAUCAAAUUUUCUGACCUCUAAUGUUCAAAAUUUCACUCAUUUACUUAUGAAUCACUGAAAUCUACUUUUACGCGCAAACUGUAACAACAGCAUAAAACUCAGCACUAAAUCAAAAUUCUUACAUUAUUGCAUCAAAAGAAAGAAAGACAACCCAAAAAAAAAGAAAAGAAACAAAAAAUUAGUCAAUAUAUCAAAAUUUCUGACCUCUAAUGUUCACAAUUUCACUCAUUUACUGAUGAAUCACUUAAAUCUAUUUUUAUGUGCAUACUUGACCUUAAUCAUAAUUUUUCUCAAACCCAUAGAUUUCUCUUUUUCUUUUUUCAAAACACCAAGAUGGUGAGGUUAAGCCGGACGACCACCUGUAAUAUAAAUCAAUCAAUGAAAAACAUAAAGCGGGGACAUAAACUAAAACCUCCCAAGAGAAGCAAAAAUAUCACCAUAGAUUAUAAAGGAUCUCUUUUCAGUUUAUAUGGUUGAAAACAUAGUCUUGAUGCUAAGUUGCCAAGCAUUCAUUUGCUUGUUUCUCAUCCAACUAUUGGAUUGCCAAAUCAAGCAACAAUUUUCCACAGGAAAAAUUUUUUAACUCUCACACACACACAUUAGUAAAGAACUUCAAUAAAGAUCAAAACUGAAAGACUCUCUAACAAAGUUACCACCCUGGAUCUGCAGAAAGAAAGCUCAACGCAAAAAGAAGCUAAAUAAAAAAAGUCAAAAAAGAAGACCAAAAAAAAAAAAAACGAAAGUUACCAGUCUCAAUAACUAUAGCAAAGUAAGAGUUUUUCUUCUUCUCAAAGGCUUUGAGGCUCAAGUAACCAGCCAAAACGAGGAGCAAUCCAGUGCCAACACCCCCAGCUAAGGAUGCUGUGCUCCCUUUCUUCGCAAACCCGACAAUGCCUCCACCGAUAAGGAUCAGACCGUACGGGAUCGUGAAGCAAAAGUCAUGCAUUUUCUCCAACUGGGUGUUUGUUUCUCGCGAAAAUUUUGUGUCAGAAAUGGAGAGUUUCUAUGAAAUCUGCUAAUGGCGUGUGGCAUUCUUUGGUCAAUAGUGUGGUUGGCACGAAUUAUUUUGGGUUAAAAUCGCAAGCAACCCCUCAUAUUGCAAUUAAUUAUAAUUGGACCCAAUGUUUCAGAAUUAACUCAUAACUCGAGCUAAAGGAAACCCAAGCUAUCUUCUUUUCACGUACGAGCAGCAGUCGCAAAACUUGACCUUCAAAAUUAUUUUCUUUUCACCCAUGAGUAGCAGCCGCACACACCCAUUUGCCUUUCACCCAUGAGUUACAACUGCACACCCGUGAAUUUUUCAUGGCACUCGUGGUUAUUUUUUAUGGAUUUAUAUUUUCAUAUUUAAAUUUGAGAAUAUGUGUUGGAUUGAUAUUAAAAUUUUAAUUUUUUAUUUAUAUUUAUUAAACUUAGAAUUAAGUAUGUUAUGUGAAAUUUUAGCAUGUUCAAUAUAAAUUUACAUAUUGAAUAUUUAUAAUUUUAAAUAUAAGAAUCCGUAAAAAAAUUUGUCAGGUAUCAUUAUAGAUUUUGUAAUUGUUAAAACCCACAGUAAAUGCGAGUGUGAGUUUAAUAAUUUAAAUUUUGUACGAGUGCACGUUUGAUAAUAACAAAUCUACUGCGGGCAAUGUGCACUGCCAUCCCUAGUCCCAAUCCCAUGGUUAACCGACUUCUCAACAAUUGACUUUGAUUACUUAGAUAAUCUGAUCUUUGUAUUUUGAAUUUUUGACUAAGUGUUAAGAAGUAAAAAUAGAGAUGAAGUUUUUUUUUUUUAAGAAAAUAGAAAUGAAGUGAAUUCCUAAUUUGUUCCAAUAAAUAAUUACAUCUUAUGUUUAAGUUAUGAACUACGAACUUUAUAAUUUCUUAGAUAAACAUGUAGAUUCUAUUUAUUUAAAUAAAAAAGAAAGUGUUACAAUGAAUUGAUGUUAGUCCACACUAAAAUAUUUUAAUUUUCUAUUGAGACAAAUCUUAGAGACCUAAGUGUAUUUUCAUAUUAAUAUUUUACAUAAAGCUAAAAGUGGAUAUUAUUUUUGUGGAAUCGAAAUGAAUCAAACUGAAAUUACUUCAUUCGGUUCGGUAAUGUACGAUCGGUUCAUGCAAUUUAAUUUUGAAAUAAAAUAAAAAAUCCUAAUCGGCUAAAAUUUAAAAAAAUAAAUAAAUGGUACCCUAAUUCUCUAACUGCCCGCGCCCGGCGCCUCUCUCUCUCCCGCUCACUCUCACUCUCACUCGCACGGUCUCACCGUCUCACUCUCUCAGUCCCACUGCCGUCACUUACGCACCAUCCACCGCCGGCAAUCUUGAUUCAAUUUUUUUUAUCAGCUCGCGGCAGAUCGUGAUCGUGAUUCACAGUCUCACUAGCUCGCGGCAGUGAUCGCCAUUCAUCCACUUCGUCGCAGCCUCGUUCAACCGUUACCAUCGCGCCGGCCGCCGGAGACUGUGAGUUGUUGACUUCGUUUUUUUUUUUUAUAAUAGUUCAUUAAUUUUUUUCCUUAAUUAAAUUGUUUGAAUUGUGAUUCGUACUUUAAUUUAAUAGAUAAUAAUUUAAUUUUGCAGCAGCUUUUUUUUUUUCAAAUUGUCUUGACUCUGCUUUCUUAAUCCACCAUUACUUCAAAUGAUCUGAGCUAUUAGUGUAUUUAGGGAAAAAUUUCUGCAGCUGUUAGUGCAUUUAUGGUGCUGUACUGCUGUUCUUAGAAUUGAUAUUACUUAUGGAUAUUUUCCUUUUGGUAAUUUCUGUGCUGUAAAUUGAAUUAUGGAAGAAUGCUUCUGCUUUUACAGAUUUCAAAUGAAAAAACUAUGGUGCUGUUACAGGGUUCAAAUGAAUUGAAUCAAUCUACCUAGAGGCAACAAAAAUUAUAGUGCUGAAAUGAAUUAAAAAAAUAUAGCUUACACCUUAAUGAUUAAAUCAAUCUGGAAAAGCAAUGUGAUUACCCAAGUAAUUUUUCUGAAUAUUUCUGAGAUAUAUUUCCAUUUUGUCAGGGAUUGGUGAUGGCUUGUCAAGCACUUAAAUUGGAACCAACAAAGCAAGAGAAGGCUUGCUUGGCAACCUUUAAAAAGAGAAAGAACAGUUUGAUGAAGAAGGCUUAUGAGUUUACAACUCUGUGCGAUGUUGAAGUAUGCAUCAUCAUCUGUGGUCCAAAAGUCAAAGGCCACUCUUUGAAGCCAGAGACCUGGACCUCAAAGGAAGGUGAAUUGACCAGUAUUAUCAGAAAGUACGAGAAGAAAAUUAGUGCAGUUGAUCAUGGUCAACAUAGAACAUUAUCCUUGUCUAAAUUCGACGAAAGUAAGAUGAGGCAAGUUGAUGAUGCAGCUACAAGGGCUUGCAAGAAAAUUUGUGUAGGAGAUUUUACUACAUGGGAUCAAGGUAUGGACAGUUUAUCAGAGGAUCAACUGAAGAUGAUUCUCAGCACAAUGGAUGAUAAGCUCAAAGAUGUGGACAGGAAACUAAACACGAUCAAAAGAGAUCAGAACGUUGUGAAUAAGGCCACAUCAAGAAAGUUAGAGCAUGACCAUUCAAAUGAUGCAAAAUCACUUGUCAAUUUGCAGCCUGCUUAUCAGGUUAGUCAAAAGCUACCAUCUGAUUCAAGUUUCAUGGAGAUUCAAUGCGGCGGGGGAUCUGGUAGUACGAUUCCAUUCACCCCACUUCAAGGACAAAUAAAUUGGAAUUCCUCACUGACCAUGUCUCCCACGUCAUCAGGCAUUUAUGAUGGCAGUGCUGCCCAAGCAAAGAAAUCGAAUGAUAUUCUCAAAGAUCAAUCCAGCCAAGAAGAAUGAAAAGGCUUCUUCACAGGUGGGGUUUCUCAAACAAUAGGACAGCUUUAGAGAUUGGACAAUGUUAAAAAAGUACUUUUACUACUAUUCUUUUGAUUUCAGUUAGGGGCUGUUCAGUGAUUUUUUAGUUUUACCCAGUUUCUGAAUUUAUGACUUCCAUUAUAGAUUUAUGAUACAUCUAUAGAGUAGUAUAUUCAUGAAUACAUUCCACCACUCUGUCUCACAUCCGUAUUGAAAAUGACAUUGUGAUAAAUUUGUUAGCUGUUCUCAUAUCAGUUUCACAUUGCCAACAAAAUUACAAAGCAACGAUAGUACAUAAGUGACAAAAUGCAAAAAUCAUACUCUAAUAAUCAAUUGCAAACCUUCUUUGAGAAUCUGAAAUAGUAGUUUUAGACUUGUUAGCAUCCAAACCAAUACCAUAGCCAAGUCCUCGUCCGUUCCCGAACCCGAAAUUGACGUUGCAACUCAUGCCAGCUCCAAAAACCAGCUCAAGACAGCCACCAUAUCCGAUUCCUCCAGCCACGCCAAAACUGUUUUUCAUCAUCAAAGACGAGUAAUAUUUUUUCUCUUCCACAACCACUAAGGUAUAUAUACUAAUACAUUUUUUUCAAGUAAAGUCUUACAACAGAAGAAUCUGCAUUUCUGUAAUCUAAAACAUAUCUUUUGGUAGUAGUCUUAUAAAAGAUCCUCAGAUCAAAUCACUCAGCCUUGGUUGGAAUCUGGUUGCCACCAGUUGCAAUUUUGUACAGAUAAAACCCGGUCAUAAGGGCACUGCAAGAUAACAGAUUGCUAGAGUUGAGCUCUUAAACAUCAAAAUCAAUGUUUAACCAGGUGUAAACAAAAUAACUAUGCAGCUGUUAAGAAAUAAUUAACGAAGCAGCUAAUUUAAAAGUUUCUAAUAGCACCAGUAAAGGUCUGAUUUUUCAAUAUUUAAAGCAGCACGUGCACGGAGUGGAAUUAGAUUAUGAAAUAAUCACCAAGAAAUUUAAUAAAUCAGCAGGGGUCAAACUUCUUUUCGGCACUAACAAAUGAUUGGUAGUAUAGCAGCAUGAGUGCAUUCAGAGAGCAUGAACUGAAGAUGCCACAAGCUGUCAUAACAGAACAAGUAUACAAAAUGAUAAAAGAUUUUUCUAAGAUCCCUUUUGCCAAGCACCCGAUACAAGAAUCUACAUAUCCAAAAUGAGUAAUGAUAUAGCCACAAACUCUUGUACAAACUUAUUUUGUAUAAACUGAUGUGGCAUGAUAAAAUUGGUUAAAUUAAAUAUCUCUUGGCCCACAUGAUUUAUUUUCAUUAUUUUGUAUUUUCAUUCAACCAAUGAAUUAAUGUCACAUCAGUUUGUACAAAAUAAGUUUGUACAAGAGUUUGUGGCAGUAUCAUCACUUAUCCAAAAUACAACUGCAGAUAUUGUAUGGCUAAGUGGAACAUCAAAAAUAAUAUCAAUGUGAAGGAAGAGGUAGGAAAGAGGUUGAGAGUUUAAAAGAAUGAAUAACUAAUUUUUUUCAAAAGUUCCACUGAAUAACAACUAAUUUUUUUCGAAAGUUCCACCUAUGCAAUUUUUCAUGUUAUGCAUAAUAUUGCUUGCAAUUAGAGAAUGGCAAUCAUAAUCAGGAUUGGGAAUAUCCUGUGUAUGAGAAGUAAGAACAAAGAAGCCAGAUGCAUCUUCCAUUUACCUGAUCCCAGCAACUAUACCAGCUGGCAUAAUCUUAGAGGUUUCCAUAUAUCGCUGUGCCAUGACCGCAGUCAGUACAGCUGCACAA